GAUGAACGCUGGCGGCGUGCCUAAUACAUGCAAGUCGAGCGAACAGACGAGGCGCUUGCUCCUCUGACGUUAGCGGCGGACGGGUGAGUAACACGUGGAUAACCUACCUAUAAGACUGGGAUAACUUCGGGAAACCGGAGCUAAUACCGGAUAAUAUAUUGAACCGCAUGGUUCAAUAGUGAAAGACGGUUUUGCUGUCACUUAUAGAUGGAUCCGCGCCGCAUUAGCUAGUUGGUAAGUUAACGGCUUACCAAGGCAACGAUGCGUAGCCGACCUGAGAGAGUGAUCGGCCACACUGGAACUGAGACACGGUCCAGACUCCUACGGGAGGCAGCAGUAGGGAAUCUUCCGCAAUGGGCGAAAGCCUGACGGAGCAACGCCGCGUGAGUGAUGAAGGUCUUCGGAUCGUAAAACUCUGUUAUUAGGGAAGAACAAAUGUGUAAGUAACUAUGCACGUCUUGACGGUACCUAAUCAGAAAGCCACGGCUAACUACGUG
rnacentral:rRNA from 1 species